CUGGACGGGGGAUCACUCGGCUCGUCCGUCGAUGAAGAGCGCGGCCAGCCGAGAGAACGGAUGCGAAUUGCAGGACUCAGUGAACAUCUCAUCCUC